ACUCCUGCGGGAGGCAGCAGUGGGGAAUAUUGCACAAUGGGCGCAAGCCUGAUGCAGCCAUGCCGCGUGUAUGAAGAAGGCCUUCGGGUUGUAAAGUACUUUCAGCGGGGAGGAAGGCAAUACGGUUAAUAACCGUGUUGAUUGACGUUACCCGCAGAAGAAGCACCGGCUAACUCCGUGCCAGCAGCCGCGGUAAUACGGAGGGUGCAAGCGUUAAUCGGAAUUACUGGGCGUAAAGCGCACGCAGGCGGUCUGUCAAGUCGGAUGUGAAAUCCCCGGGCUCAACCUGGGAACUGCAUUCGAAACUGGCAGGCUUGAGUCUUGUAGAGGGGGGUAGAAUUCCAGGUGUGGCGGUGAAAUGCGUAGAGAUCUGGAGGAAUACCGGUGGCGAAGGCGGCCCCCUGGACAAAGACUGACGCUCAGGUGCGAAAGCGUGGGGAGCAAACAGGAUUAGAAACCCGUGUAGUCCCAUG
rnacentral:rRNA from 1 species